AAGAGUAACGGAGGAGCACGAAGGUGGGCUAAUCACGGUUGGACAUCGUGAGGUUAGUGCAAUGGCAUAAGCCCGCUUGACUGCGAGAAUGACAAUUCGAGCAGGUGCGAAAGCAGGUCAUAGUGAUCCGGUGGUUCUGAAUGGAAGGGCCAUCGCUCAACGGAUAAAAGGUACUCCGGGGAUAACAGGCUGAUACCGCCCAAGAGUUCAUAUCGACGGCGGUGUUUGGCACCUCGAUGUCGGCUCAUCACAUCCUGGGGCUGAAGUCGGUCCCAAGGGUAUGGCUGUUCGCCAUUUAAAGUGGUACGCGAGCUGGGUUUAGAACGUCGUGAGACAGUUCGGUCCCUAUCUGCCGUGGGCGUUGGAAGAUUGAAGGGGGCUGCUCCUAGUACGAGAGGACCGGAGUGGACGAACCUCUGGUGUUCGGGUUGUGUCGCCAGACGCAUUGCCCGGUAGCUAAGUUCGGAAUCGAUAACCGCUGAAAGCAUCUAAGCGGGAAGCGAGCCCUGAGAUGAGUCUUCCCUGAUACUUUAAGUAUCCUAAAGGGUUGUCGGAGACUACGACGUUGAUAGGUCAGGUGUGUAAGUGCUGUGAGGCAUUGAGCUAACUGAUACUAAUUGCCCGUGAGGCUUAACCAUACAACACCCAAGGGGUUU
rnacentral:rRNA from 1 species